rnacentral:misc_RNA from 1 species
GCAGCGAAAUGCGAUACUUGGUGUGAAUUGCAGAAUCCCGUGAACCAUCGAGUCUUUGAACGCAAGUUGCGCCCGAGGCCCAUUCGGCCGAGGGCACGUCCGCCUGGGUGUCACGC